rnacentral:rRNA from 1 species
GGCCUAUCAGCUAGUUGGCGGGGUAAUGGCCCACCAAGGCGACGACGGGUAGCUGGUCUGAGAGGAUGGCCAGCCACAUUGGGACUGAGAGACGGCCCAGACUCCUACGGGAGGCAGCAGUGGGGAAUCUUGCGCAAUGGUCGAAAGACUGACGCAGCGACGCCGCGUGCGGGAGGAAGCUCUUCGGGGUGUAAACCGCUGUUGCCCGGGACGAACAGCCCGUUUCGAGGGUCGUGACGGUACCGGGUGAGGAAGCGCCGGCUAACUCUGUGCCAGCAGCCGCGGUAAUACAGAGGGCGCGAGCGUUGUCCGGAAUCACUGGGCGUAAAGGGCGCGUAAGUGGCGGCAUAAGGCCGCGGUGAAAGUUCGGGGCUCAACCCUGAAUCGGCCGCGGCGACUGUGUCGCUUGGGCACUGUAGAGGCAGAUGGAAUUCCGGGUGUAGCGGUGGAAUGCGUAGAGAUCCGGAAGAACACCGGUGGCGAAGGCGGUCUGCUGG